rnacentral:rRNA from 1 species
CCUACGGGGGGCAGCAGUGGGGAAUAUUGGGCAAUGGGCGCAAGCCUGACCCAGCAACGCCGCGUGAAGGAAGAAGGCUUUCGGGUUGUAAACUUCUUUUAAGGGGGAAGAGCAGAAGACGGUACCCCUUGAAUAAGCUACGGCUAACUACGUGCCAGCAGCCGCGGUAAUACGUAGGUGGCAAGCGUUGUCCGGAUUUACUGGGUGUAAAGGGCGUGCAGCCGGAGAGACAAGUCAGAUGUGAAAUCCACGGGCUCAACCCGUGAACUGCAUUUGAAACUGUUUCCCUUGGGUGUCGGAGAGGUAAUCGGAAUUCCUUGUGUAGCGGUGAAAUGCGUAGAUAUAUAGAAGAACAUCAGUGGCGAAGGCGGCCGCCUGGCCUGUUAACUGACGCUGAGGCACGAAAGCGUGGGGAGCAAAUAGGAUUAGAUACCCGGGUAGUC